rnacentral:rRNA from 1 species
UUAUGGAGAGUUUGAUCCUGGCUCAGGACGAACGCUGGCGGCGUGCCUAAUACAUGCAAGUCGAGCGGACAAUUGAGAGCUUGCUCUCAAUUGUUAGCGGCGGACGGGUGAGUAACACGUGGGCAACCUGCCCUGUAGACUGGGAUAACUUCGGGAAACCGAAGCUAAUACCGGAUAAUCUUUUGGACCACAUGGUCCGACAGUAAAAGUUGGGUUUUACCUAACACUACAGGAUGGGCCCGCGGCGCAUUAGCUAGUUGGUAAGGUAACGGCUUACCAAGGCGACGAUGCGUAGCCGACCUGAGAGGGUGAUCGGCCACACUGGGACUGAGACACGGCCCAGACUCCUACGGGAGGCAGCAGUAGGGAAUCUUCCGCAAUGGACGAAAGUCUGACGGAGCAACGCCGCGUGAACGAUGAAGGCCUUCGGGUCGUAAAGUUCUGUUGUUAGGGAAGAACAAGUACCGUUCGAAUAGGGCGGUACCUUGACGGUACCUAACGAGAAAGCCACGGCUAACUACGUGCCAGCAGCCGCGGUAAUACGUAGGUGGCAAGCGUUGUCCGGAAUUAUUGGGCGUAAAGCGCGCGCAGGCGGUCUCUUAAGUCUGAUGUGAAAGCCCACGGCUCAACCGUGGAGGGUCAUUGGAAACUGGGAAACUUGAGUGCAGAAGAGGAGAGUGGAAUUCCAUGUGUAGCGGUGAAAUGCGUAGAUAUAUGGAGGAACACCAGUGGCGAAGGCGACUCUCUGGUCUGUAACUGACGCUGAGGCGCGAAAGCGUGGGG